rnacentral:rRNA from 1 species
AUGAAGGGAUGCAUGCUCUUCAUCUUGCAGGAGGGGACCCAGCCUUCUUCAACGCUCGUGACAUUGUCUCCCAUUGAUUCGUUCGUGCGACAAGGAGGGGACUCGCCAUUCUUCACGUCUCGUCCAACAACACUAACAAGUUUUCACUUUCCCGACGUGGCCACAGGGGUGAUCGACGCGGACUACCGCGGCCUGGUGGGCGUCGUGCUCUUCAACCACUCCGAGGUGGACUUCACCGUGAAGCCCGGCGACCGCGUCGCACAGAUGAUCGUCCACGUGAUCGUGACGCCCGAGGUCGCCGAGGUGGAGGACCUCAAUACCAUCGUUUGGGGGGAGGGAGGAUUGGGGUCCACCAGCAUCUGA